UUCUCUUGGAGCCAGUGAGAAUUGUGG
rnacentral:piRNA from 1 species